rnacentral:misc_RNA from 1 species
GUUAUUCUCUAUACGCAGCCAGGGUUUUAGCAAAGCUCAGAAAAGUUUUAAGACAUCAUGGGUAAAGAGAAGAUUCAUAUCAGCAUUGUUGUCAUUGGACAUGUCGACUCUGGAAAGUCGACCACUACUGGUCACUUGAUCUACAAGCUUGGUGGUAUUGACAAGCGUGUGAUCGAGAGGUUUGAGAAAGAAGCAGCUGAGAUGAACAAGAGGUCAUUC